rnacentral:lncRNA from 1 species
AGGUUCACCCAUCCAUUUCAUCUCUCAAAAAGCUGGUUCUUUUGGAUUUGGAAUAUUGCAUAAAUCUUAAGAUUUUUCCAAGCAAGAUUGUUAUGAAAUCUCUUAGAACCCUUAAACUUUCAUGGUGCGAAAACCUCGAUAAGUUUCCCGAAGUUUCAGAUGUUAUGCAGGAUCUAUCAGAGCUUUAUUUAGAUUAUACUGAAAUUAAAGAACUGCCCUCGUCAAUUUGUAAUCUUACGAGGCUUGUUACCUUGAAUCUAAACGGUUGCAAAAAGUUUAAGAGUCUUCCAAGGCGUAUUUCUCACUUGAAAUCUCUUAAAAGCCUCCAUGCUUCUCAAUGCUCAAGUCUUGAGAAGUUUCCAAAAAUUUCAGAGGCUAUGAAUAAUCUAUCUGAGCUUUAUUUGGGUGACACUGCAAUUAAGGAGCUGCCUGCUUCUAUUUUGAAUCUCACCAGUGUUGUUACUUUGAAUCUGAAUGAUUGCAGAGAACUUGAGAGUCUUCCAAGCAGCAUUUCUCACAUGAAAUCUCUUCAAUGCCUUGAUGUUUCUGGAUGCUCAAAGCUUGAGAAGUUUCCAGAAAUUUCAGAGGUUAUGAAGAAGCUAUCUGUGCUUUGUUUGGGUGGCACUGGAAUUAAGGAGCUGCCUGCUUCUAUUUUAAAUCUCACCAGUGUUGUUACUUUGAAUCUGAAUGAUUGCAGAGAACUGGAGAGUCUUCCAAGCAGCAUUUCUCACAUGAAAUCUCUUGAAUACCUUGAUGUUUCUAGAUGCACAAAGCUUGAGAAGUUUCCAGAAAUUUCAGAGGUUAUGAAAAAGCUAUCUGGGCUUUAUUUGGGUGGCACUACAAUUAAAGAGCUGCCUGCUUCUAUUUUAAAUCUCACCAGCCUUGUUACUUUGAAGCUGAAUGGUUGCAGAGAACUUGAGAGUCUUCCAAGCAGUAUUUCUCACAUGAAAUCUCUUCAAUACCUUGAUGUUUCUAGAUGCUCAAAGCUUGAGAAGUUUCCAGAAAUUUCAGAGGUUAUGAAGAAGCUAUCUGGGCUUUAUUUGGGUGGCACUACAAUUAAAGAGCUGCCUGCUUCUAUUUUAAAUCUCACCAGCCUUGUUACUUUGAAGCUAAAUGAUUGCAGAGAACUUGAGAUUCUUCCAAGCAGCAUUUCUUACAUGAAAUCUCUUCAACGCCUUGAUGUUUCUGGAUGCUCAAAGCUCAAGAAGUUUCCAGAAAUUUCGGAGGUUAUGAUGAAGCUAAUUGAGCUUUGUUUGGGUGGCACUGCAAUUAAAGAGCUGCCUGCUUCUAUUUUAAAUCUCACCAGCCUUGUUACUUUGAAGCUAAAUGAUUGCAGAGAAAUUGAGAGUCUUCCAAGCAGCAUUUCUCACAUGAAAUCUCUUGAAUACCUUGAUGUUUCUGGAUGCUCAAAGCUCGAGAAGUUUUCAGAAAUUUCAGAGGUUAUGAAGAAGCUAUCUGUGCUUUGUUUGGGUGGCACUGCAAUUAAGGAGCUGCCUGCUUCUAUUUUAAAUCUCACCAGUCUUGUUACUUUGAAUCUGAAUGAUUGCAGAGAACUGGAGAGUCUUCCAAGCAGCAUUUCUCACAUGAAAUCUCUUGAAUACCUUGAUGUUUCUAGAUGCUCAAAGCUUGAGAAGUUUCCAGAAAUUUCAGAGGUUAUGAAAAAGCUAUUAGGGCUUUAUUUGGGUGGCACUACAAUUAAAGAGCUGCCUGCUUCUAUUUUAAAUCUCACCAGUCUUGUUACUUUGAAUCUGAAUGAUUGCAGAGAACUGGAGAGUCUUCCAAACAACAUUUCUCACAUGAAAUCUCUUGAAUACCUUGAUGUUUCUAGAUGCUCAAAGCUUGAGAAGUUUCCAGAAAUUUCAGAGGUUAUGAAGAAGCUAUCUGGGCUUUAUUUGGGUGGCACUACAAUUAAAGAGCUGCCUGCUUCUAUUUUAAAUCUCACUAGUCUUGUUACUUUGAAGCUUAAUAAUUGCAGAGAACUUGAGAGUCUUCCAAGCAGCAUUUCUCACAUGAAAUCUCUUGAAUACCUUGAUGUUUCUGGAUGCUCAAAGCUCAAGAAGUUUCCAGAAAUUUCAAAGGUUAUGAAGAAGCUAUCUGAGUUUUAUUUUGGUGGCACUGCAAUUAUGGAACUGCCUGCAUCACUUUAAAUUCUCACCAGUCUUGUUACCUUGAAGCUGAAUGACUGUAGAGAACUUGAGUUUUCCAAGCAGCAUUUCUCACUUGAAAUCCCUUAAAAUACAUUGAUGUUUUAGGAUGCUCAAAUCUUGAGAAGUUUUCAGAAGUUUUCAGAAAUUUCAGGAUGCUCAAAUCUCAAGAUUCUGCCAAGCAGCAUCUGUCGACUCUAGUCCCUUAGAUAUGUUUGUCUUUCUGGUUGCAUAAGGUUUGAGGUAUUUCCAAGUAUUGAAGAAAUUAUGGAAGGAUUAAGAGAGCUUCACUUGGAUGGAACAUCUAUUAAAGAACUUUCCCUGUCAAUUGAAUAUCUUCAAGGGCUGGUGUUAUUAAAUCUGAGAAACUGCAAAAACCUUGUUCAUCUUCCAGACAAUAUCUGUAAUUUGGGAUGCCUGAGAGAUCUCAAUCUCUGCGGGUGCUCAAACCUUUUUAAGUUGGCUGUGAACUUGGAGAAGAUAGAAUCCUUGUGGGACGCUGGAGUAGAAAUUGUUGAGCACAGGGAUUCUAUUCUAUUCUUUUAACUUGUGAAUUGUAAUAUAUAAUAUACAUACUCCCAAUCCCUGUUUUACUUUUGGACACGCUUCAGAUGUUUUACGCAGCGAAUAUAGAGAAAUGUGGGCACUGUUUUCACAAUGUUCUCUGUUCUUCUUGGUGUGCUCUGCUUCCAUGAUGUGUCUUGAAUUUCUUGGAAUAGAGGACUGUCGUGCUCAUAAAUUCUUCUGGAGAAAAUAAUUACUAUACAGAAGCAAUAUCUCAAAUUGGAAGCUUGCAGGAAACUGCAAUCGAUACAAGAGCUUUCACCAAGUAUAACUUACAUGCGCCUGAUUUCACAUUUUUGGAAACAGGUACAACUUUCAACACCAUGAUGAACUCCCUGAGCCGAAAUACACAUGUCAAUACCAUGAUAAUGAAGAGUGCUUUCUGAAUUUUGAUCACAAUGGUUAACUGCGCUAGUGAAGAGAAAGUUACAUGCAACUGGAAUGUUAAUGUAGCGGUGCACAAAACUUGUCCCAUUGUGUUUUUAAUUUUUAAUUUCCACAUGGAUGUCGUGUUAUUGAGUUUAGGACACCGAUCACCCUGGCAUCCCCAAUACAAGUAAGUUCUUCAUGUGUAGGCAUGCCAAGUCCAUACUUGCAGAUCACCGAGAAUCAGUUUCAUUCAUAUUUUCUUGCAUUUGCCACAAUAACUACAUUGGUAAUUGCAGGCACCAACCUGUAUUUUCAAUUUGCAAUAACUACAUUCAUAAUUUGGGAUUUUUUAUUUUAUUUUAACGUUUAGUUUUAAUUCUUUGUCAUGUUUUCCUAGCAAAUGUAUGACUAUGUAUACGGUUUGCACUUGCUCUUGAUCUUACUCAUACAAUAAUGUUUUUCUUAUUCCACAGGGAUGAUGUGAAGCUCAUUGAGGAAAUUGUAAAAGAUAUUUUUCAGAAAUUGAUCCGCACCUCAUCAAGUAAAGACGAUGACUUGGUUGAAAUGGAUUCCCGCAUGCAUGAAAUGGAGUUGCUAUUACAACCCUCUCCUGAAAUGGACGGCGUUCGUGUUAUUGGAAUAUGGGGUAUGGGUGGUAUUGGUAAAACGACCAUAGCUAGAGCUUUUUAUGAGAAAAUUGCUUGUCAAUUUGAAGCUUGUUGCUUUCUUGACAAUGUCAAGGAAGAGUUCACUUGUGGUGCCGUACAUAUGCAGGAAAAGUUUCUCUCUAGAAUCUUGAAUGAAAAGGUGCAGAGUUUAGGCAUUUUGGAUCAAGGUUACAGAACGAUAUUGAGAAGGCUACUGAUGAAAAAGGUUUUGAUUGUUCUUGGUGAUGUUGACGACUUAUUUCAAAUUGAAACCCUACAUGGAAAGCAACAUUCAUUUGGCGAUGGGAGUAGAAUCAUUCUCACCACUAGAGAUAAGCUAGUACUAAGUCGAGCUGAUGCGAUCUACAGCCCCAAGGUUCUAAGUGGUGAUGGAGCUUUGGAACUCUUUAGCCAGUAUGCCUUUAGAACAAAGCAACCCAAAAGCGACUAUGACCAUCUCUCAAGCCGUGCUGUACAAUAUGCUCAAGGUCUCCCUUUAGCACUUAAAGUCUUGGGGGCUUUUCUUUAUGACAAAUCUGUACAGGAGUGGGAAGAGGUGCUAGAGAAAUUAAAGAAAAUCCCGCAAAGGGGAAUUCAUGAUGUGCUAAGAACAAGCUUCGAUGGACUGGAUGUUUCUGAGAAGGGCAUAUUUCUGGAUAUUGCAUGUUUCUUUAAAGGAGCGGAAAAAGACAACGCAACAAAGGUUCUGGACAGUUGUGGCUUUUAUCCCCAUACUGGGCUAAGAGUUCUAAUUGAUCGAGCUCUUAUAACUGUCUCACGGGAAACACUGAAGAUGCAUGAUUUACUAGAGGAAAUGGGUCGGGAAAUCGUCCGCCAAGAAUCUAUUAAAGAGCCUGGGAAACGCAGUAGGUUGUGGAAUUAUGAAGAUGUUCAUCAUGUGCUAACUCAAAAUACGGUGCGAUAUGUUCAUGACCUUCUUUUUCAUAUGUAAAUCUUUAGAGUAAACAACUUUAACUUUGAUCAAAAUGCAAUUCAUAGAAACAUGCAUUAACUUUAUAAUGUUAAAUAAGAUUCAGGAUAUCUACAGUCACAUAAUUUGAACUAUUUGUUAUCCAGGCUACGGAAGCUGUUGAAAGCAUAAUCCUUGACCUUUCAUUCUCAAAACCAAAAGUGAUAUACUUCAGUUCCGAAGCUUUUGUUAAAAUGACGAAAUUAAGAUUGCUCAAAAUCCACGGCGACAAUCGAUAGUCAUGUGAGAAUUUAAAGUUUCUUCUGCAUGAGUUAAGAAGUCUCAUAUGGAAGCAUUUCCCCCUAAAGUCUUUACCGUCCAAUUUUAUUGCGAAGAAUCUUGUUGAGCUUGACAUGCAAAAUAGUCUCAUUGAACAUCUUUGGGAAGGAGCCAGGGUAAAAACUUAACUUGCAUAUGUUUCUUUUAAAUGGUUUAAUUCUUAGAUGCCUUACCUUGUUUUCCUUGAUGUGUUAUACCAGCCUCUGGAAAAUUUGAAAAUUAUCAACUUAACAAGUUCUCCUCACCUGAAGCAAACUCCUGACUUCACGGAGACGAAAAAUCUUGAGAAGGCAGUUUUUCGAAGUUGUACAAGUUUAUUUGAGGUUCACCCAUCCAUUUCAUCUCUCAAAAAGCUGGUUCUUUUGGAUUUGGAAUAUUGCAGAAAUCUUAAGAUUUUUCCAAGCAGGAUUGGUAUGAAAUCUCUUAGAAUCCUUAAACUUUCAUGCUGCAAUAACCUCGAUAAGUUUCCCGAAGUUUCAAAUGUUAUGCAGGAUCUAUCGAAGCUUUAUUUAGGUUAUACUGAAAUUAAAGAACUGCCCUCGUCAAUUAGUAAUCUUACGGGGCUUGUUGCCUUGAAUAUAAAAGGUUGCAGAAAACUUGAGAGUCUUCCAAGCAGCAUUUCUCACAUGAAAUCUCUUGAAUACCUUGAUGUUUCUAGAUGCUCAAAGCUUGAGAAGUUUCCAGAAAUUUCAGAGGUUCGCCAUCUGAGCUUUAUUUGGGUGGCACUGCAAUUAAG